rnacentral:rRNA from 1 species
UACGUAGGGUGCGAGCGUUGUCCGGAAUUAUUGGGCGUAAAGUGCUCGUAGGCGGUCUGUCACGUCGGGAGUGAAAACUCAGGGCUUAACCCUGAGCCUGCUUCCGAUACGGGCAGACUAGAGGUAUGCAGGGGAGAACGGAAUUCCUGGUGUAGCGGUGAAAUGCGCAGAUAUCAGGAGGAACACCGGUGGCGAAGGCGGUUCUCUGGGCAUUACCUGACGCUGAGGAGCGAAAGUGUGGGGAGCGAACAGG